rnacentral:rRNA from 1 species
AACUAACGCUGGCGGCGUGCCUAACACAUGCAAGUCGAACGAGAAAGGGUCCUUCGGGACCUGAGUAGAGUGGCGCACGGGUGAGUAACGCGUGGGUAAUCUACCCUUCAGUUGGGAAUAACUCAUCGAAAGGUGGGCUAAUACCGAAUAACACGACCGGACUGCGGUCCGGUCGUCAAAGAUAGCCUCUGCUUGCAAGCUUUCGCUGAAGGAUGAGCCCGCGUCCCAUUAGCUGGUUGGUAGGGUAAUGGCCUACCAAGGCGACGAUGGGUAGCUGGUCUGAGAGGAUGAUCAGCCACACUGGAACUGAGAUACGGUCCAGACUCCUACGGGAGGCAG